AUUGAACGCUGGCGGCAGGCUUAACACAUGCAAGUCGAGCGGAUGAAAGUAGCUUGCUACUGGAUUCAGCGGCGGACGGGUGAGUAAUGCUUAGGAAUCUGCCUAUUAGUGGGGGACAACGUUCCGAAAGGAGCGCUAAUACCGCAUACGUCCUACGGGAGAAAGCAGGGGACCUUCGGGCCUUGCGCUAAUAGAUGAGCCUAAGUCGGAUUAGCUAGUUGGUAGGGUAAAGGCCUACCAAGGCGACGAUCUGUAGCGGGUCUGAGAGGAUGAUCCGCCACACUGGGACUGAGACACGGCCCAGACUCCUACGGGAGGCAGCAGUGGGGAAUAUUGGACAAUGGGGGGAACCCUGAUCCAGCCAUGCCGCGUGUGUGAAGAAGGCCUUUUGGUUGUAAAGCACUUUAAGCGAGGAGGAGGCUACCUAGAUUAAUACUUUAGGAUAGUGGACGUUACUCGCAGAAUAAGCACCGGCUAACUCUGUGCCAGCAGCCGCGGUAAUACAGAGGGUGCGAGCGUUAAUCGGAUUUACUGGGCGUAAAGCGUGCGUAGGCGGCCAAUUAAGUCAAAUGUGAAAUCCCCGAGCUUAACUUGGGAAUUGCAUUCGAUACUGGUUGGCUAGAGUAUGGGAGAGGAUGGUAGAAUUCCAGGUGUAGCGGUGAAAUGCGUAGAGAUCUGGAGGAAUACCGAUGGCGAAGGCAGCCAUCUGGCCUAAUACUGACGCUGAGGUACGAAAGCAUG
rnacentral:rRNA from 1 species